rnacentral:lncRNA from 1 species
GCUAUCGACUUCUUUUCAGCUGCGCAAUUUCUUGAGGUAAUAAAAUAAUAUGCGACUAAAUGGUGCAGCCUUCUUCUUCCUUAAUUUACUUUGUAGUCUUUAUUAAGUAACAUAUCUGGCAGAAAUAAUUGCUCAAAUAUGUCAAAUUGUACUCUGUGAUGUGGAUCUAAUUGGAAUCAAUCAAUUCUAUAUCAGUUUCAGGUUUAAACUUGCUUUGAUUAUCUUAUACAUGAUGGGUAAUAAAGUCUCUAAUAGUUAUUCUGUCCUCUUCUGCAGCAAUGUACUAUGAUUCAUAAGCUUUCAUAUGUGAAUUUUUAUUUUUAUUUUUGUAGAAAGGUGAUUUAUGAGCUGUUAUCUUCUUCCACUUUAUGAGUUUGUCAAAAGCAAUAAUAUGGUAUGUGUCUUUUCUGGAUUUCUCCAUCAUUUUCUCUGGUGAAGUUUCUUCUACUUUUGGUGAAAUUCUCUUAUUACUUUUCCCUAUAUUCCUAUCCAAGAACUCAAGUGGGGGAAAAUAUACUCAUUUCAGUCCUUUACCAGGAAUUCAGAACUCUUUUCUCUUUUCUAAUAUCCCAG